GGCCACACCUGCAGCAUAUGGAGGUUCCCAGGCUAGGGGUCGAAUCAGAACUGUAGUUGCUGGCCUGUGCCAUAGCCACAGCAAGGCAGGAUCUGAGACAUGUCUGUGACCUACACCACAGCUCACAGCAACGUUGGAUUCUUAACCCACUGAGCAAGGCCAGGGAUUGAACCUGCAUCUGCAUGGAUCCUAGUCAGAUUCAUUAACUGCUGAGCCACAACGGAAACUCACAGUCUGCUUUCUUGAAGAACUCUUUUAUGUUAUGGAGACAAAUCAAACUGGUAAUUAAAGAGUGGAAAGGGGAGGGAGUGGGGGGGGAAGAGAAUUUCCCUUGAGAAUAAUCUCAAGCUCAGAGGCUGUGUGAGCAAAGGGAAGCAGGGUGAUUGGCAGGAGAAAGGGCUGGGAUCAACUGACUCUAACAUUUGCUCAAAAAUAAAACCAUAAGUGUACAAGUUCACAAAUUGAGUACUACUACAAAACAAUAGCUAAUAUACAUUAAAAUAUUACUAUACAUCAAGAACUGUUUUAAGAGCUUUAAAAGCACUGACAUUUAAUUCUCAUAACAACUCUAUGAGGAAGGUACCACUUUUUUCACAGUAUUAGAAAUAAAGAAACUGAGGCACAGAGCAGCUAGGUAAAAAUUUCAAAGUCAUACAGCUGUAUGUGGCAGAGCCAGGAUUUGACCCCAGAUGGCCUGGUAUUAGAGCCCACCCUUAAGCCCUGUACUGGCUUAAGCCCUUUUCUACUGCACAGCUGAAAAGACCACCUCCCCAUUCUGAAGCCUCUCUCCUACCCUUCUUAGAACCACCAGCACUCCUGAAGCCAGAAUUUGUAUUCUAAUAGGAGUUCCCGUCGUGGCUCGGUGGAAACAAAUCUAACUAGUAUCCAUGAGGAUGCAGGUUCUAUCCCUGGCCUCAUUCAGUGGGUUAAAGAUCUGGCUUUGUCGUGAGCUUUGGUGUAGGUUGCAGAUUCAGCUCAGCUCCUGUGUUGCUAUGGCUGUGGUGCAGGCCAGCAGCUACAGCUCUGAUAUAACCCCUAGCCUGGGAUCUCCAUAUGCCAUGGGUGUGGCCCUAAAAAGACAAAAAAAUUAAUCUAAAAAAGGAUUAAAUCACAAGGAAAAAGUUAACAAGGAAAAAAUAUUAAAAUAAGUAUAAUUGAUUUUUCAGAGAAAUACAAGGGGUUGUAUUCACACAAACAAUACACAAACUAGAGUUCUUGGAAAUUAAAAACAUGGCUACUGAGGUUUAAAACUAAUUGACUGUGUAACAGAAUAAACAUAACAAAAGAUCAAAUUAGUGAAUUGAAAGUCUAAGAAAUUCUCUCAAGAUGUUAUGUACAAAAAAGAAGCAGACCAACAGAUGGAGAGAAUAGUCUAGUGGUUGGGGGGUUGGGUAGAGGGGAAUGAAGCAUAUAGGGGCAGAGGAGUAGGAGGUACCAACUUUUGGGUAUAAGAUAGGUUACAAGGUUACAAGGAUGUGUUUUCAAUAUGGGGAGUACAGCCAAUAUUUUAUAAUAACUGUAAAUGAGAAGUAACCUUUAAAAAUUGUAUUAAAUAUUUUUAAUUAAAAAAAAGAACAACUAUACUCCCAUUUUAGAACAGCAAGUGAUCCUCUUGAUGAAAGGGCAUAAAAAUAUAAGAAAAAUGUUGAGAUAGAGUCCAAAGCCCUGUGACAGACAGAAUAAUGGUCCCACAAAGAUUUCCAGAAACUUGUGAUAUGUUACCUUACGUGGCUAAUGAGACAUUGCAGAAAUAAUUAAAUUAAGGAUUUUGAGAUGAGGAAAUUGUCCUGGAUUAUUCAUGUUUGUCCAGUAUAAUCAAAGAGAUCCUUAGAAGUGAGUAAAAGAGCAAGGAGGAGAAGCAGAGGCUUAAAACAACACAUAUUUAUUAUCUGAUAGUUCUGUAAUUUAGAUGUCUGAUGUGGGUUUCAUUGGGCUAACAUCAAGGAGUCAACAGGCUGUGUUCCUUUCUGAAGGAUUCUCCAGGAGAAAAUCCAUUUCCUUGCCUUUUCCAGCCACCACAAUUCUUGACUCUUGGCCACUUUCCCUCUUUAAAGCCAGAAACAGUGGGUAGAGUUCUUCUUAUGUAUUAUCACUCUGAAUUCCUCUUCUGGUUCCCUCUUCCACCUUUAAGAGUCCUAGAACCCACCCCGAUAAUCCAAAUAGUCUCCACAUUUUAAAGUCAUCUGAUGAGCAAGCUUAAUUACUUCACUAUCUUUAUUCUCUUUUGUCACAUAAUGUAACAUAGUCAUGGCUUUUAUUGAUUAGGACACAGAUAUCUUUGGGGGACCAUUAUUCCGUCUACUAAAGCCCCAGUCUUACCCCCAACUUCAAGUGCCUCUUGCCUUUACAACAUAGAUCAUUUCAGCCAUGCCAAACUUCCACGCUGAAACUUUCACAUGCUAUACACCCCUGGAACCCAGGGGUAGGGAGGGAGUGGUGUCAAAUAGUGCACGGAGCCAAAAACCUACCAGUCAUCCAAAACCCCCUAGAGUACCCUUCAGGGUUAUUUCAGCCUUUUGGGGUCUUUGAGCAAUUUUACAAUCCUCUAAGUUGUAGCAAACUGAUAGUGAUACAAAGGAGUCUCAUUCAUGGAAGUGCAAAUAGUGUCCAGAGGAAUGUGACCAAUUGUUGCCCAGUUUUGCCAGUUUGCAUCCACUUCUGGAUUCUUAUUAUGACUAUAUACUUUGUUUUCUCUUUGGAAUUUCCUCUGAACCACUUGUAACCAUGAUGCCAUUUCUCUCAUUCAUUUAUGAGUUAACUAAAAUCUUUGACACUGGCAACUGACUCCAGAGUUCCAAUAGUUCUAUUAGGCAGAUUCUCCCAAUUAGGCAGUGUAAUUCCACCAGCGUCCACGUGGGGAGACAGAUUCCUGGCACUCUCCAUGCCACCAUUUUCCCAGAAUCCUUUGCAUUGUUUUUUUUAGAGGUCAAAAUUUUGCUAGUAUAUUUUUGCCCAUUUAAUCAUUUCUCAUAGUUCUAUGGCACAUUAUUCCAAGUGAACUUCUUAUAAAAAAUGGCAUAGGAUACAUUUCCAAUCUAAGCAUACAGGAAUUUAACCCAUCUGCAGUUAUCAAUUGUUCUGGCUUAUUCUUGCAAUCUUAUAUUUUCUCUAUAAUAUUCUUCCUCUUUUGUUGUUGUUGCCAUUCCAGUUUGUUUUUUCCUGUCUGUUGUUAAACAGAUGGAUUUGUAGAAUUUCGUUUGUGUUUCUCUAGUGCAGGACAUUUUCUGCAAAGGGCCAGUUAAUAUCUACACUGUUGGUGGGAAUGUAAAUUGGUACAACCACUGUGGAAAAUAGUAUGGAAUUUCCUCAAAAAAAAAAAAAAAUAGAGCUACCAUAUGAUCCAGAAAUCCCACUCCUGGGUAUCUAUCUGGAGAAAACUGCAAUUAGAAAAGAUACAUGCACCUCAAAGUCCACUACAGUACUGUUUACAAUAGCCAAGUCAUCGAAAUAACCUAAAUGUCCAUCGACAGAGGAAUGGACAAAGAAGCUGUGGUACACACAUACAAUGGAUUAUUACUCAGCCAUAAAAAGAGUGAAAUUAUGCCAUUUGCAGCAAUAUGGAUGGACCUGGAGAUUCUCAUACUAAGUGAGAUUAAACAGUAAAAGAAAAACAUCAUAUAAUAUCACUUAUAUGUGGAAUCUAAAAAAGAUACAAAUGAACUUAUUUGCAGAACAGAAACAGGCUCGCAGACUUUGAAAAACUUAUGGUUACCAAAGGGGACAGGUGUGGGGAGGGAGGGAUGGACUGGGGAUUUGGGAUUGGCAUAUGCACACUGAGAUAUACUGAAUGACUAGCCAACAAAGACCUUCUGUAUAGCACAAGGAACUCUACCUAAUAUUCUGUGGAAAAACACUCUGAAAGAGAAUAGAUGUGUGUAUACAUGUGCUUAAUUACUUUGUUGUACAGCAGAAAUUACCUUGCAAAUAAACUAUACUUCAAUCAAGCUUUAAAAAAUAAAUAGGAGUUCCCGUCAUGGCUCAGUGGUUAGUGAAUCUGACUAGGAACCAUAAGGUUGUGGGUUCGAUCCCUGGCUCAGUGGGUUAAGGAGCCAGCUGCCAUGAGCUGUGGUGUAGGUCGCAGACGUGGCUCAGAUUCCGUGUUGCUGUGCUCUGGCAUAUGCCAGUGGCUAUAGUUCCAAUUGGGCCCCUAGCCUGGAACUCUACAUAUGCCGUGGGUGCAGCCAUAGAAAAGGCAAAUAAAUAAAUAAAUAAGUAUAGCAAAACGAAAAAGAAAAAAGAAAGAAAAGAGAAAAAAAGGAAGUGGGCCAUAUUUGGCCUAUGAGCUUUGGUUUUGUAAUCCUGCUCUGGUGUCUAAUAAGUUAUAAGAACUAUUUGUUAGAAUAUUAACAUUUACCUCUCCCUUCCUUCCAUUUCCUCCUCUUCUCUUUUUCAGUUAGGUACACUAUAAUUUUUUCUUUUGUGGGGAGGAGGGAUGCAGUGGGAUGGAUUGGGAGUUUGGGGUUAGUAGAUGCAAACUAUUAUAUUUAGAAUAGAUGAGCAAUGAGGUCCUACUGUAUAGCACAGGGAACUACAUCCAAUCUCUUGGGAUAGGACAUAAUGGAAUAUAGUAUGAGAAAAAGAAUGUGUAUGAUUGGGUCACUAUAUUGUAUAGCAGAAAUUGGCACAAACUGUAAAAAAACUACACUUCUAUAAAAAUAAUUUUUUUCCUUUUACUAAUUGAGACAGUUAAAUUGAUAUCUUUUCCUGAAACUCAACACAAGCCAACUACAUAUUAUCCAUAGUUUGGCUCUAAAAAGUGAAAAUCCACAAAAGGGUCUGCAUUUUUGUUUUUAUAUAAAGAUUAUAUGAUGCCAAGCCAAGCAUGGUGAUGGGAUUAUCUUUCCUUUGAAGGUCAUGAUUCUUAAAUCAAUUAUAACACUGAUCCUAAAACCAAGGGCAAAUAAUAUUUUCCUUUCUUAUAUUAAUUGCUUAAAAUUGAACCUUAUUUUCUUUUCUAUAGUCAGUUUAGGGUUUCACAUUAACCCUUCUUUUUUUCCAUCAUAUCUCUUUUAUCACAUCACACCUUCUUCAUGCUCUUCUCAUACCAUCUAUUCUCUGAAUCCCUCCUGAGGACCUUCAACCCACCCAGCCUUUUGCUCUUUAUGUUCCGUAUUCUCUAAUUGCUCAUUCUCCUAACAAACUUUUAUUGACUUUUCUUUGCACUAUCCCUCUGGAGAAUAUCACUUAAGAGUAUUUUUUUUUAAGUUCAAUAUCCUUAAAUUUUCUCUGCUUCCUCUGGGGUCAGUUUGUCUAUGCUCUUGUUUAUUUCUUCCUAUUGGUCUCCAUUUAGCUGUUUUUCUCAAAUAUCUGAUGAUCUUUAGUUUUAUAUUCACAUGUAUGAAGAAGAAACUCAGUUGAUCAUCUGGGAGCUGGUACAAAUUUUUCCUCCCUGGAUGGCAGCACUGAUUGCAGGGCUUAUACCUGGGAGUAGCCUAUCCUCUGGGAAGCCUCCCACUAGGGUGCUUGUAUGUGGAGCCAGCAGGUGAGCUGGCAUUCCCAGGUGCUGAAAUAAGAAGGCUUUUCUCUGGCAGUAGUAGUCUUCAGUGCUCCUUCAGAGUGGUUGCAUUUCUUCCUGACACCUGUGCCCUCUCAGGAACUCUCCCCUACCUGGUUCAUCACUCUCCUUGGAAUGUACCUAGAGGACCUUAGCUUCAGAUUAACGCUGCUUUUCUAAUUCAAUUGUUGGGGCUGCUGUUAUAAAUAAAUUAUUACUUAUUCUUUUUAUUGCCCUAGUGCUCUCUCUGCUUCUGGGUAUUUAUUUGUUCACUUUUGGAGUUUCAGUGGACCUUUUCUUAUUUUCUCAGUGUUUUUUCUAUGCAUGGAUUUGGGGUUUCCUCGACUCUACUCCAGUCAACCCUAUUGAUUUCUUGCUUAUGGGUGUGCCUUGAAAUUUCGUCUGCUGAUGGUGACUUUUCUGGCUUGCCAGUGUUGGUAUGAUUAUACUUACACACACUCCAUAAAUUUAAGGGAUUUGAGGUGGGUGUUUAGCUACACACUGAGUUCAGUCCCCCAGUUGUUUUAUUUUCUUUGAGGCCAGUUAAGCUGAUCAUUCACUGGGAUAGUUUUAGUCACUUGUUUUAAGCCACAGUGUUAUUAGCCUGUCCUGAAAAUGUUAUACUGACUUUUUUAUAUACUUUAAAUUGUACUUACAUUUUAAUUAAUCAAUUAACAUGAUUUUAUUAUUUAUUCAUAUUUGUUUCUAUUUUUAAAAGUAUUAUGGAAGUAUAGUUGAUUUAACAUUUGAAAAUUUCUUGGGAGUUCCCGUUGUGGCGCAGCAGAAAUGAAUCCAACUAGGAACCAUGAGGUUGCAGGUUCAAUCCCUGGUCUUGCUCAGUGGGUUAAGGAUCUGGCAUUGCUGUGAGCUGUGGUGUAGGUCGCAGACACAGCUCAGAUCUGGCACUGCUAUGCCUCUGGUGUAGGCUGGCAGCUGC
rnacentral:lncRNA from 1 species